GAUGCUUCCCUUCCAGGGAAGAAUGAGCAAGAAAUCAUUGGAGUUCUGGACAAAAGUGAUGGAAACAGGUAUUCGUGGACAGACUCUAAUGUGUCAAGAAACAGGACAUCUGAGACUCAAAGAGAUUCAUUCCCUGGUCUUGAAGACACAGUUUACGACGACAUUGAAGAGACGGGACCCUGAUCAAGAUCGCUGAGCAGUACUGAAUACUUUUGGACGUACUCCCCUGUUCAUAAAAUGCUAAUCAUGUACUAUCAGAACCAGAACAACCUGCAUUUAAAAUUAGUUUUCAUAAGUUUUGUUUAUUUGCAGAAAAGUGAUUACAUAUUUAGAAGAAAUACAAGCAUUAUCUUGGUUAGACAGUUUUUCAAGCUUCUCCUAACUACCUGGGCACUUUUUUUUUAUUAUUAUUUCUAAAUAGUUUCAUUGCUUCUUUUUCCUUUUUUUUUUUUUUUUUUUAAACUGAGGUAAUUUUUCAACCAUGAUAUUUUCUUAUUAAAACUGUUUAAAGAUCUUUUCUCAAAUGUAUGUUACUCCUCGCGGAUACACUUCAGUGUAUUAGGAAUUUUGAUUAUUAGGAAUUGAGACUGAACUGCAAGAAGAUCAUCAAAGCUGUGUUUAAUCUUUUGGAUAUUCUUAUUUGUCACAUAGAAUGUGAGAGCCAGAAUUAAUGCUAGGUAGCACUUUGUGAGAUAACAAAUUAAACGAGAGGUUAUUCUUGUCCUCACUUUAAAUGCAGGGCUGUCAUUUGAACUACAUGCAAGUGAAUUACAAUUUGGACUGGGUGGAAAAACUCCUCUUUUCUCCCUCUACACCAUGAUGAAUUAUUGUCUCCCAAAAUCGUAUCAAUUAUACAGUAAUAGAAAGUAUAAUUUCUUUCAACAUAUGACAAAUAGUGGUCAUAUCUAUAGGUUUCCAUCGUGUCAUUUAUUUUCAUCAUGUGAAGGCAGACUGCAAAAGUCCACAAGUUGAUGGAGUAGAAGUACUGUUGUCUUGGCUCCUAAUAAAAUUUCUUUCAGGUUUUGAAAGAAAAAGCUU
rnacentral:lncRNA from 1 species